AGUGAACGCUGGCGGCAGGCCUAACACAUGCAAGUCGAACGGCAGCACAAGAGAGCUUGCUCUCUGGGUGGCGAGUGGCGGACGGGUGAGGAAUGCAUCGGAAUCUGCCCAUUUGUGGGGGAUAACCUCGGGAAACCGGGACUAAUACCGCAUACGACCUACGGGUGAAAGCAGGGGAUCUUCGGACCUUGCGCAGAUGGAUGAGCCGAUGCCGGAUUAGCUAGUUGGAGGGGUAAAGGCCCACCAAGGCGACGAUCCGUAGCUGGUCUGAGAGGAUGAUCAGCCACACUGGGACUGAGACACGGCCCAGACUCCUACGGGAGGUAGCAGUGGGGAAUAUUGGACAAUGGGCGCAAGCCUGAUCCAGCCAUGCCGCGUGUGUGAAGAAGGCCUUCGGGUUGUAAAGCACUUUUGUUGGGAAAGAAAAGCAGCCGGUUAAUACCCGGUUGUCAUGACGGUACCCAAAGAAUAAGCACCGGCUAACUUCGUG
rnacentral:rRNA from 1 species